AGUGAACGCUGGCGGUAGGCCUAACACAUGCAAGUCGAACGGCAGCACAGUAAUAGCUUGCUCUUACGGGUGGCGAGUGGCGGACGGGUGAGGAAUACAUCGGAAUCUACUUUUUCGUGGGGGUUAACGUAGGGAAACUUACGCUAAUACCGCAUCCGCCCUACGGGUGAAAGCAUGGGAUCUUCGGACCUUGCGCGAUUGAAUGAGCCGAUGUCGGAUUAGAUGGUUGGCGGGGUAAUGGCCCACCCAGGCGCGGAUCCGUAGCUGGUCUGAGAGGAUGAUCAGCGACACUGGAGAGGAGACAGGGACAAGACUCCUACGGGAGGCAGCAGUGGGGAAUAGUGGACAGUGGGGGGAAGCAUGAUACAGUCAGACCGCGUGGGUGAAGAAGACGUUCGGGUUGGAAAGACCGUUUGUGGGGAAAGAAAAGCAGCAGGUUAAGACCCCGCUGUUCUGACGGUACCGAAAGAAUAAGCACCGGCUAACUUCGUG
rnacentral:rRNA from 1 species